GCGACCCUGAGGUCAGGCGAG
rnacentral:rRNA from 1 species